GGCCGUUGGGCCAAGUGGUAAGGCUUUGUUCUUGCAAACCAAAGAUCCAGGGUUCAAACCCCUGAAUGGCCU
rnacentral:tRNA from 1 species